rnacentral:rRNA from 1 species
GAUGAACGCUAGCGGCAGGCCUAAUACAUGCAAGUCGAGGGGUAUGGGUUGCUUGCAACCCAGAGACCGGCGCACGGGUGCGUAACGCGUAUGCAAUCUACCUUAAUCAGGGGGAUAGCCCGGAGAAAUCCGGAUUAACACCGCAUAACAUUGAGUUGUGGCAUCACAGUUCAAUCAAAUAUUUAUAGGAUUAAGAUGAGCAUGCGUGACAUUAGUUAGUUGGUGAGGUAACGGCUCACCAAGGCCACGAUGUCUAGGGGAUCUGAGAGGAUGACCCCCCAGACCGGUACCACGACACAGACCAGACCGGUACGGGAGGCAGCAGUAAGGAAUACUGGGCAAGGGACGCAAGCCUGAACCAGCCAUGCCGCGUGCAGGAAGACGGCCCUAGGGGUUGUAAACUGCUGUUGUACAAGAAUAACCCGUCUCUUGCGAGAGAAGCUGAACGUACGGUAAGAAUAAGCAUCGGCUAACUUCGUG